UGGGGAAUAUUGCACAAUGGAGGGAACUCUGAUGCAGCGACGCCGCGUGAACGAAGAAGGCUUUCGAGUCGUAAAGUUCUUUUAUAUGGGAAGAUAAUGACGGUACCAUAAGAAAAAGCCCCGGCUAACUACGUGCCAGCAGCCGCGGUAAUACGUAGGGGGCUAGCGUUGUCCGGAAUCACUGGGCGUAAAGGGUUCGCAGGCGGAAAUGCAAGUCAGGUGUAAAAGGCAGUAGCUUAACUACUGUAAGCAUUUGAAACUGCAUAUCUUGAGAAGAGUAGAGGUAAGUGGAAUUUUUAGUGUAGCGGUGAAAUGCGUAGAUAUUAAAAAGAAUACCGGUGGCGAAGGCGACUUACUGGGCUCAUUCUGACGCUAAGAAACGAAAGCGUGGGUAGCAAACAGG
rnacentral:rRNA from 1 species